rnacentral:rRNA from 1 species
UACGUAGGGUGCAGGCGUUAAUCGGAAUUACUGGGCGUAAAGCGUGCGCAGGCGGUUUGCUAAGACAGGUGUGAAAUCCCCGGGCUUAACCUGGGAACUGCGCUUGUAACUGGCAAGCUGGAGUGUGGCAGGAGGGGGGUGGAAUUCCGACGUGUAGCAGUGAAAUGCGUAGAGAUGAUGGAGGAACACCGAUGGCGAAGGCAGCCCCCUGGGCUAACACUGACGCUCGAUGCACGAAAGCGUGGGGAGCAAACAGG